GCUCCGGUGGCCUAGUAGGUAGAACGUCAAUCUCGGAUGCUGUAGGUUGUGGGUUCAAACCUCAUCCGAACCA